rnacentral:tRNA from 9 species
AUGUAGCCAAGUGGAUCAAGGCAGUGGAUUGUGAAUCC